UGGAACCUUCUUCCUCCUCACUCUCCCUGAUCUUCUCAACGGUUGCUUCUCCUGUCGUUUACAGCUCCACGUUGAAGACACAUUAAAAGCUGCCUACCACAAAAUGCAACCCUGCUCCAAACCAUGCCAUCAAGCAAGACAGCAAUUCUGGUGUAUCACUGCAUUGCAGUUCAUUGUUUUAAUGGCAGCUUGUUUAUCUCUGUAGUACUCACAGUGCUUCAGAGAUUGCACUUGGCCUGAGUAUGAAGCAUGAACAAGACAGACAGACAGCCUCGUCCUUCAGAACAAGACAGACAGCCUUGUCCUUCAUGAAG